rnacentral:rRNA from 1 species
AAAAUGAACGGGGCUAAGCGUUAUACCGAAGCUGCGGAUAAAUUUAUUUAUGGUAGGGGAGCGUUCUAUGUAGGGUGAAGCGUUAGCGUAAGCGGACGUGGACAGCAUAGAAGUGAGAAUGUCGGCUUGAGUAGCGAAAACAUGGGUGAGAAUCCCAUGCCCCGAAACCCUAAGGGUUCCUCCGGCAGGCUCGUCCGCGGAGGGUUAGUCUGGACCUAAGGCGAGGCCGAAAGGCGUAGUCGAUGGAUAACAGGUCAAUAUUCCUGUACCAGAUGUGUUUUGAGAAGGGGGACGGAGAAGGCUAACCAGGCCAGAUGUUGGUUACUGGUUCAAGCGUUCGAGGCUUUGAGAGAUGGAGAAAACAUCUUGAGCUAAGGCGUGAGUACGAGCUGCUACGGCAGCGAAGUUGGUGAUGUCAUGCUUCCAAGAAAAGCCCUAUACUCGUUAAGACACAUAUGCCAGUACCCGAAACCGACACAGGUGGGGUGGUAGAGAAUACCGAGGGGCGCGAGAUAACUCUCUCUAAGGAACUCGGCAAAAUGGCCCCGUAACUUCGGGAGAAGGGGUGCCAGCGAGAGCUGGUCGCAGUGAAGAGGCGCAAGCGACUGUUUACCAAAAACACAGGUCUCCGCUAAGUCGCAAGACGAUGUAUGGGGGCUGACACCUGCCCAGUGCCGGAAGGUUAAGGAAGCUGGUUAGCUUUUAGUGAAGCUGGCGACUGAAGCCCCGGUGAACGGCGGCCGUAACUAUAACGGUCCUAAGGUAGCGAAAUUCCUUGUCGGGUAAGUUCCGACCCGCACGAAAGGUGUAACGAUUUGCGCGCUGUCUCGGAGAGAGGCUCGGCGAAAUAGAAUUGUCUGUGAAGAUGCGGACUACAUACACCCGGACAGAAAGACCCUAUGAAGCUUUACUGUAGUUUGAUAUUGUGCUCGGGCUCUGAAUGCGCAGAAUAGGUGGGAGACGUUGAAAUAGUGCUUGUGGGUACUAUUGAGUCAUCGGUGAGAUACCACUCUUUUAGAGCUAGGGUUCUAACGCUUACCCGUUAUCCGGGAAGCGGACAGUAUCUGAUGGGCAGUUUGACUGGGGCGGUCGCCUCCUAAAAGGUAACGGAGGCGCACAAAGGUUCCCUCAGGCUGGUUGGAAAUCAGUCGUUGAGUGCAAAAGCAGAAGGGAGCUUGACUGUGAGACCUACAAGUCGAACAGGGACGAAAGUCGGUUUUAGUGAUCCGACGGUUCUGCGUGGAAGGGCCGUCGCUCAACGGAUAAAAGUUACUCUAGGGAUAACAGGCUGAUCUCCCCCAAGAGUUCACAUCGACGGGGAGGUUUGGCACCUCGAUGUCGGCUCAUCGCAACCUGGGGCUGAAGUCGGUCCCAAGGGUUGGGCUGUUCGCCCAUUAAAGCGGUACGCGAGCUGGGUUCAGAACGUCGUGAGACAGUUCGGUCCAUAUCCGGUGUAUGCGCAGGAAUAUUGAGAGGAUUUCUCCCUAGUACGAGAGGACCGGGAGGAACGCACCUCUGGUGUGCCAGUUAUCGUGCCAACGGUAAACGCUGGGUAGCCAUGUGCGGAGUGGAUAACCGCUGAAAGCAUCUAAGUGGGAAGCCCACCUCAAGAUGAGUAUUGCCAUGGCUUAAGCCAGUAAGGUCACGGGAAGAACACCCGUUGAUAGGCUCUACGUGGAAGCUUGGUAACAAGUGCAGCGGAGGAGUACUAAUAGACCGAGGGCUUGACCA